UGUUCAUCCACUGCCGUUUGUCUUGCUUGCCUCUGCAACCUUGUUUGUUGGAUUAUCCUUUUGUUCUGUCUUCCCCUGGAUCAUUUGUUAUGGACUGUGGUUUUUGCUGCUCUGUGGACAACCUUAGUUUGGACUCUGUUAGGAGUACCAAUUUUGCCCUCAACUAUACCAAAUGGAAUAAAGCAUUCAUCAGUCAGACAGCAGGCUUUGGGAGAAGAAGUACAGAUGGCACUGUACUGAUGUAGCAAUCUACUGAGCCUGAGCUGCAGCAGUCACCAGAUCCUUCUUAGCUGCAACAACAAUCUCCUGUUCCUUCUGAGCCGUAUGGGUCUGCUGAUCCUUCUAGGCUGUGGAAGUCUCCCGACACUGCUGAGUUGCUGAAGCAGCCCUCUGAUCAUGCUGAGCUGCAGCAGUCACUUGUUUCUGUGCUUUAGCAGCCUUCUUAUGCCCUGGCACCUCCGGCUUACCUGCCUGUCUUCCAGCUGUGCACUCCAGCCACCGGGAACCAGCUCUGCACUCCAGCUGCCCAACCCCAAGGCCAUCCGCCUUAGGUCUCCUGCUCCACCUAGGCCGUCCACCUGCCCAGGCCCCAGGCUGUCUGUCUUAGGUCUUGUGUUCCUCCCAGCACCCAGUCCAUUCACCCAAAAUCAGCUGCUCUGCCCAGCCCUCAGUCCGUCCACCUGAGGUCUUCUGCACCACCCCUGUUCUUCAGUUCUCCGGCCACUUGCUCCUUCUGUCAUAAGCCCUGCAGUUACCUGGCCUACUCCCCCAACUCCUCACCUGCAACUCAUUCCGUUCCUUAGCCAGUUCAUCUCAGCUGCCAUAUGCCUCAAUGCCUUGUUGGUUUUUUUUCUACAUCCCUGCGUA